UACUCUCACACUCCCGAUCUUUGUAUUGGGAGCGGUGGACUUGGGUUUGCUGCUUCACCGCAGCUUACCUCAAAUACGUUAGUGCAACUCUUGGUUGGACAUAAUACGGCGUGAUAAGUGUUCUUUUCGCCGGUGCCUCGCAAAGAGGGUGGCCGAUCGGGUGGUUGUGCUCCAAACCGUCCGUCUUUGGACAAUGUCUGACA
rnacentral:misc_RNA from 1 species